rnacentral:lncRNA from 1 species
CAGCUCUCAGUUGACAUUUGCUAACAGGACAGAAAUCGUACAGUGAUCCAUAUGACAGAUUUGGACUUACGAGUGCUCACGGUGUGGAAUGUGGGCGGUCAGAGAGAAGCACCUGGGCUUUCUGCUGCACCAAGAGGAAUGUGCCUGGGGCGCUCAGGUAGAUGCCUUUAUAGAAGACACACAAGCACUCAUUCUUGCCGACGGGGCACAUGAAGAAAGCAAGAUGCCAUUACUUCAGCACCAGCGAACUGGAAUUGUCAGUCAAGUACAAACAGAGUUCUAUUUGAAAAAAAAUCGACCACUGCCUCUGCUUCCCCCUCUCCUUUCCACUCCCUUAAUUACGGCGACAGCUACAUGGGAGAAGAAGGAAACACAGCAAAGUAAGAAGUGGACUGGACUAGGAUCAGAUUUGAAUAUGGUUCUUAGUUUUUCCUCUACACUUUGGGCCAGUCACUUCACCUCCCUUCGUGCCUGCCUCAUUCCUCCUUUGCCUUGUCUGCUGCCUACAUACCAACCGUUCAGGUCGGGGACUGCCUUGCUAAACAUUAAUACAGCACCUAACCACCUCCAGGCCUGAAUCGUAUGCAUCUAAUUUGGCUAAACAGUUGGUCUAAGAUCUCAUCUCUGGAAAAGGACAUACGAAGAAGAGGAGGCCCAUGACUUUUUAGGGCAAGUC